AUUGGAAAGAGUAAGCUGGUGU
rnacentral:miRNA from 1 species